AAAGCGUGCGCAGGCGGUUAUGUAAGACAGAUGUGAAAUCCCCGGGCUCAACCUGGGAACUGCAUUUGUGAGUGCAUGGCUAGAGUACGGUAGAGGGGGAUGGAAUUCCGCGUGUAGCAGUGAAAUGCGUAGAUAUGCGGAGGAACACCGAUGGCGAAGGCAAUCCCCUGGACCUGUACUGACGCUCAUGCACGAAAGCGUGGGGAGCAAACAGGAUUAGAUACCCGGGU
rnacentral:rRNA from 1 species